GACGAACGCUGGCGGCGUGCUUAACACAUGCAAGUCGAGCGAGUGGCGGACGGGUGAGUAAUAUAUGGGGACGUGCCCAGUAGCGGGGGAUAACUACUGGAAACAGUGGCUAAUACCGCAUACUAUUGGAGCAGCCCAUAUGGGAUUAGCUAGUUGGUGGGGUAAAGGCUCACCUAGGCAACGAUCCCUAGCUGGUCUGAGAGGAAGACCAGCGCCACUGGGACUGAGACACGGCCCAGACUCCUACGGGAGGCAGCAGUGGGGAAUGUUGCACAAGGGGCGAAAGCCGGAUGCAGCCAAUCCGCGGGUAUGAUGAAGGCCUUAGGGUUGUAAAGUACUUUCGGCUGGGAAGCGUUACCCGCAGAAGAAGCACCGGCUAACUACGUGCCAGCAGCCGCGGUAAUUC
rnacentral:rRNA from 1 species